UUUAUAAAAAUUACAAUGGUAGCAUGUUUCCCAUAGCAGGACUGAGGAACAGCUAGUCCGGAACCCCAAGCUGACAGGCUUUCUUUGUCCUUCCUUCGUUUCAAAGCAAAGCAGACUGGUACCUCAGGCACGAGCCCAGCUCCAAGAUGUUGGCCAGAGUUACCAUCUGACUGAGGAGGUGGCUGGGACCAGCACAAGUUCUAGCAACUGCAUCUCUUUCUGUCCGGGAUGGUGAGAGCCCUCAUUUCACUCUGUAGGCUGCAGUAGUGCUGGGAAGGGCUCAGGAGAAGGCCUGACCCUACUGUAAACACCUAAGUUCAGGUACAUUCUCCUAAGAGCACAGGAGGGCCCACGUCAGAGUCAGCCCAGCGUCCAGGACUCAGUGCUUCAGGUGCCAGGGCAUGGUGGCCAGAGACCUAGGAGCUCACUCAGCAGGGCUGGGAAGAAGAGUGAGGUAUCCCCUCACCUGCCAGGCAGGAGAGGUCCCUGAGUAGCUGACUUGCCCAGCCCCCUAAGCAGGGCUGCUCUGUCAUGGGUUCUGAAAGUCUAAGACGUGGAGGUCCCAAUAGCGAACAUAGGUGUCAUAACCACAGGACAGCAGUGUAGAGGGGGACUCAUACAUGACAUCUAGCACCCCAGCCCCUGGGGGAAAG
rnacentral:lncRNA from 1 species